rnacentral:rRNA from 1 species
CGGCCUAUCAGCUUGUUGGUGAGGUAACGGCUCACCAAGGCGACGACGGGUAGCUGGUCUGAGAGGACGAUCAGCCACACUGGGACUGAGACACGGCCCAGACUCCUACGGGAGGCAGCAGUGGGGAAUCUUGCGCAAUGGGCGAAAGCCUGACGCAGCAACGCCGCGUGGGGGAUGAAGCCCUUCGGGGUGUAAGAUCCUGUCGGCUGGAACGAAAAAAAUGACGGUACCAGCAGAGGAAGCAUCGGCUAACUACGUGCCAGCAGCCGCGGUAAGACGUAGGAUGCGAGCGUUGUCCGGAUUUAUUGGGCGUAAAGAGUUCGUAGGCGGUUUGUUAAGUCUGAUGUUAAAGAUCGGGGCUCAACCCUGGGAGUGCAUUGGAUACUGGCAGACUGGAGUGUGGUAGAGGCUAGUGGAAUUCCCAGUGUAGCGGUGAAAUGCGUAGAUAUUGGGAAGAACACCAGUGGCGUAGGCGACUAGCUGGGCCAUAACUGACGCUGAGGAACGAAAGCCAGGGGAGCGAAUGAGAUUAGAUACCCCAGUAGUCCUGGCCGUAAACGAUGGAUACUAGGCGUAGUGGGUAUCGACCCCUACUGUGCCGUAGCUAACGCGAUAAGUAUCCCGCCUGAGUAGUACGGCCGCAAGGUGAA